rnacentral:rRNA from 1 species
GUGGGGAAUCUUGCGCAAUGGGCGAAAGCCUGACGCAGCCAUGCCGCGUCAAUGAUGAAGGUCUUAGGAUUGUAAAAUUCUUUCACCGGGGACGAUAAUGACGGUACCCGGAGAAGAAGCUCCGGCUAACUUCGUGCCAGCAGCCGCGGUAAUACGAAGGGGGCUAGCGUUGCCCGGAAUUACUGGGCGUAAAGGGCGCGUAGGCGGACAGCUUAGUCAGAGGUGAAAGCCCAGGGCUCAACCUUGGAAUUGCCUUUGAUACUGGCUGUGUUGAGUUUGGGAGAGGUGAGUGGAACUCCGAGUGUAGAGGUGAAAUUCGUAGAUAUUCGGAAGAACACCAGUGGCGAAGGCGACUCACUGGCCCAAUACUGACGCUGAGGCGCGAAAGCGUGGGGAGCAAACAGGAUUAGAUACCCCGGUAGUCC